AAGAUUGGAAAAAAAAAAAUGAAUAAAAAAAACACAUAAAAUGCAUUACAAAAAAAUGACAAAAAAAAAAGAACUCAAUGACGAAGCACUUGUAACAAAAUAGCACUGUUUUAUUAAAAGGAAAAAUAAAAUACAUACUAGCAAUAAAAAACCAAAUAAAAAUAACAAAGAACUUGCUGUU